UGUUUUUGAAAAAGAAGGACAAACACUUCUUCCUGCACAUCAAAGAUGCCCAGCCUGGGGACUCGGCUGUCUACUUCUGUGCAGCAAGAACACAUUGCUCCCCAGGCACCUGCAGCCUGUCUUCAAACUUGCCACCAAGACUGGAGCUCCAGCCCAUACUUUGCCACAGACCUUCUUGCAUAACAUUUGACAAUUGUUUACAAGUAGCAGCUAAACACAAACAUUUAGGUCUAAGGAGACCCUGACAGACUGGCUUUGAACCCUGAUCCUCAAAUCUCAGCCAUCUGAGUAUUACAUGCAUGAUCCACUGGCAACCAGAGUGAUGGUAUCUUGGAAUCCAGACAUUUUCUGUUAACAACAAGAAUACCAGGAAGCUGGGACUUGUGUUGUCAGUGGUAUGCGGGG